rnacentral:rRNA from 1 species
GGCUCAGAUUGAACGCUGGCGGCAUGCCUUACACAUGCAAGUCGAACGGUAACGCGGGGCAACCUGGCGACGAGUGGCGAACGGGUGAGUAAUGCAUCGGAACGUGCCCAGUAGUGGGGGAUAGCCCGGCGAAAGCCGGAUUAAUACCGCAUACGACCUACGGGUGAAAGGGGGGGAUCGCAAGACCUCUCGCUAUUGGAGCGGCCGAUGUCAGAUUAGGUUGUUGGUGAGGUAAAGGCUCACCAAGCCGACGAUCUGUAGCUGGUCUGAGAGGACGACCAGCCACACUGGGACUGAGACACGGCCCAGACUCCUACGGGAGGCAGCAGUGGGGAAUUUUGGACAAUGGGCGCAAGCCUGAUCCAGCCAUGCCGCGUGCGGGAAGAAGGCCUUCGGGUUGUAAACCGCUUUUGUCGGGGAAGAAAUCUUCUGGGCUAAUACCCCGGGAGGAUGACGGUACCCGAAGAAUAAGCACCGGCUAACUACGUGCCAGCAGCCGCGGUAAUACGUAGGGUGCAAGCGUUAAUCGGAAUUACUGGGCGUAAAGCGUGCGCAGGCGGUGAUGCAAGACAGAUGUGAAAUCCCCGGGCUUAACCUGGGAACUGCAUUUGUGACUGCAUCGCUGGAGUGCGGCAGAGGGGGAUGGAAUUCCGCGUGUAGCAGUGAAAUGCGUAGAUAUGCGGAGGAACACCGAUGGCGAAGGCAAUCCCCUGGGCCUGCACUGACGCUCAUGCACGAAAGCGUGGGGAGCAAACAGGAUUAGAUACCCUGGUAGUCCACGCCCUAAACGAUGUCAACUGGUUGUUGGACGGCUUGCUGUUCAGUAACGAAGCUAACGCGUGAAGUUGACCGCCUGGGGAGUACGGC